rnacentral:rRNA from 1 species
GGGACACGUGGUAUCCUGUCUGAAUAUGGGGGGACCAUCCUCCAAGGCUAAAUACUCCUGACUGACCGAUAGUGAACCAGUACCGUGAGGGAAAGGCGAAAAGAACCCCGGCGAGGGGAGUGAAAAAGAACCUGAAACCGUGUACGUACAAGCAGUGGGAGCACCUUCGGGUGUGACUGCGUACCUUUUGUAUAAUGGGUCAGCGACUUAUAUUCUGUAGCAAGGUUAACCGUAUAGGGGAGCCGCAGGGAAACCGAGUCUUAACUGGGCGUUAAGUUGCAGGGUAUAGACCCGAAACCCGGUGAUCUAGCCAUGGGCAGGUUGAAGGUUGGGUAACACUAACUGGAGGACCGAACCGACUAAUGUUGAAAAAUUAGCGGAUGACUUGUGGCUGGGGGUGAAAGGCCAAUCAAACCGGGAGAUAGCUGGUUCUCCCCGAAAGCUAUUUAGGUAGCGCCUCGUGAACUCAUCUUCGGGGGUAGAGCACUGUUUCGGCUAGGGGGUCAUCCCGACUUACCAACCCGAUGCAAACUACGAAUACCGAAGAAUGUUAUCACGGGAGACACACGGCGGGUGCUAACGUCCGUCGUGAAGAGGGAAACAACCCAGACCGCCAGCUAAGGUCCCAAAGUCAUGGUUAAGUGGGAAACGAUGUGGGAAGGCACAGACAGCCAGGAUGUUGGCUUAGAAGCAGCCAUCAUUUAAAGAAAGCGUAAUAGCUCACUGGUCGAGUCGGCCUGCGCGGAAGAUGUAACGGGGCUAAACCAUGCACCGAAGCUGCGGCAGCGACACUAUGUGUUGUUGGGUAGGGGAGCGUUCUGUAAGCCUGCGAAGGUGUGCUGUGAGGCAUGCUGGAGGUAUCAGAAGU